UACGUAGGGUGCAAGCGUUAAUCGGAAUUACUGGGCGUAAAGCGUGCGCAGGCGGUUUUGUAAGUCUGUCGUGAAAUCCCCGGGCUUAACCUGGGAAUGGCGAUGGAGACUGCAAGGCUAGAAUCUGGCAGAGGGGGGUAGAAUUCCACGUGUAGCGGUGAAAUGCGUAGAGAUGUGGAGGAACACCGAUGGCGAAGGCAGCCCCCUGGGUCAAGAUUGACGCUCAUGCACGAAAGCGUGGGGAGCAAACAGG
rnacentral:rRNA from 1 species